CAGGCUUAACACAUGCAAGUCGAGGGGCAUCAGGAAGAAAGCUUGCUUUCUUUGCUGGCGACCGGCGCACGGGUGAGUAACACGUAUCCAACCUGCCCUUUACUCGGGGAUAGCCUUUCGAAAGAAAGAUUAAUACCCGAUGGCACAAUGAUUCCGCAUGGUUUCAUUAUUAAAGGAUUCCGGUAAAGGAUGGGGAUGCGUUCCAUUAGGUUGUUGGUGAGGUAACGGCUCACCAAGCCUUCGAUGGAUAGGGGUUCUGAGAGGAAGGUCCCCCACAUUGGAACUGAGACACGGUCCAAACUCCUACGGGAGGCAGCAGUGAGGAAUAUUGGUCAAUGGGCGCUAGCCUGAACCAGCCAAGUAGCGUGAAGGAUGAAGGCUCUAUGGGUCGUAAACUUCUUUUAUAUAAGAAUAAAGUGCAGUAUGUAUACUGUUUUGUAUGUAUUAUAUGAAUAAGGAUCGGCUAACUCCGUGCCAGCAGCCGCGGUAAUACGGAGGAUCCGAGCGUUAUCCGGAUUUAUUGGGUUUAAAGGGAGCGUAGGUGGACUGGUAAGUCAGUUGUGAAAGUUUGCGGCUCAACCGUAAAAUUGCAGUUGAUACUGUCAGUCUUGAGUACAGUAGAGGUGGGCGGAAUUCGUGGUGUAGCGGUGAAAUGUUUAGAUAUCACGAAGAACUCCGAUUGCGAAGGCAGCUCACUGGACUGCAACUGACACUGAUGCUCGAAAGUGUGGGUAUCAAACAGGAUUAGAUAUCCUGGUAGUCCACACAGUAAACGAUGAAUACUCGCUGUUUGCGAUAUACAGUAAGCGGCCAAGCGAAAGCAUUAAGUAUUCCACCUGGGGAGUACGCCGGCAACGGUGAAACUCAAAGGAAUUGACGGGGGCCCGCACAAGCGGAGGAACAUGUGGUUUAAUUCGAUGAUACGCGAGGAACCUUACCCGGGCUUAAAUUGCAGUGGAAUGAUGUGGAAACAUGUCAGUGAGCAAUCACCGCUGUGAAGGUGCUGCAUGGUUGUCGUCAGCUCGUGCCGUGAGGUGUCGGCUUAAGUGCCAUAACGAGCGCAACCCUUAUCUUUAGUUACUAACAGGUUAUGCUGAGGACUCUAGAGAGACUGCCGUCGUAAGAUGUGAGGAAGGUGGGGAUGACGUCAAAUCAGCACGGCCCUUACGUCCGGGGCUACACACGUGUUACAAUGGGGGGUACAGAAGGCAGCUAGCGGGUGACCGUAUGCUAAUCCCAAAAGCCUCUCUCAGUUCGGAUCGAAGUCUGCAACCCGACUUCGUGAAGCUGGAUUCGCUAGUAAUCGCGCAUCAGCCACGGCGCGGUGAAUACGUUCCCGGGCCUUGUACACACCGCCCGUCAAGCCAUGGGAGCCGGGGGUACCUGAAGUACGUAACCGCAAGGAUCGUCCUAGGGUAAAACUGGUGACUGGGGCUAAGUCAUAACAA
rnacentral:rRNA from 1 species